UUUUUUUAUUAUUAUUUUUUUAACACGGUAAAAAAAGAGAGAGUAGGCUCUUAAGUGUACAUCAGCUGUGAAGCACAUGAUUAUUGAUUGAUUGCAUCUAAGCCAUAUAGAAAGUCUACUCCUUGAUUUCAAGUUAUUUUAUUGUAAUAUAGUAUGCUGGAUCUUUCUUAGAACGAUUUUCAGUGUCCAUAAUGGUCAUAUAUGAAAAGAAAAGAAGAAAAAUAAAAAGGGAAUGCUUUCUCUCUAAUAUUACUAAUUUAUUCAGAAAAGAAGGAUUCCAUUGUAAAUACUUUCUCAUCUUAGUAAUGCAUAAGUGGUCUGUCAUAACUCAUUUUAAACUGUGAAAGAUGCCAUAUGAAGAGGGAUUAAGAGGCUGAGAAACUCAUAUUUCAACCAAAUCCAGAAUUAGUUUUUCUUAGGUCUAAUAAUUCCAUGUUAAUAAAGAUUUAAAUGCAGUCCUGUCUAAUUUAUUUCUUUGGUGCUUGUCUGUUGCCACAAAAUUUGAAUGUCGAUAAUAGCCUGUAGAUGGCACUAGGGUAUCAUGUCCCCUGUGCUGGCCAGGUGCCAAUCCUGCAGUAGCGAGGAGGAUGGGGGAGGGAAGGAUCAAGCUGGUAGUACAGCCAAAGAUACCUUUUAUUUAAUGAUAGUUCCUCUGGAGCCACUAGCAUUUAAGUUCAUUUGUUUGCUCUUUAGUGAGUUGCUCUCAGCACAUCAAGUUUCUAGGAUUUUGGAAGCCACUCUCUGUUAUUAGGAGUCCAUCUCUGUUGGUGGCCCAUACACCACCUUGCUAACCAAUUAAAAACAUGAAU
rnacentral:lncRNA from 1 species